GUGUCAGCCGCCGCGGUAAUACAGAGGGUGCAAGCGUUAAUCGGAAUUACUGGGCGUAAAGCGCGCGUAGGUGGUUUGUUAAGUUGGAUGUGAAAUCCCCGGGCUCAACCUGGGAACUGCAUUCAAAACUGACAAGCUAGAGUAUGGUAGAGGGUGGUGGAAUUUCCUGUGUAGCGGUGAAAUGCGUAGAUAUAGGAAGGAACACCAGUGGCGAAGGCGACCACCUGGACUGAUACUGACACUGAGGUGCGAAAGCGUGGGGAGCAAACAGGAGGAUAUACCAGCGGAUUAC
rnacentral:rRNA from 1 species